GCCGGAGUGGCGGAAUUUGGUAGACGCAAGGGACUUAAAAUCCCUCGGUCGGUAACGACCGUGCCGGUUCAAGUCCGGCCUCCGGCACCA
rnacentral:tRNA from 1 species